GUCAUUAACAAAACACCUGGAAGAAGACUGUCCCACUUCUUAAUAAGAAUUGGAGUCCUCCACCACAGCAGUUUUUUAAAGUGAAGAAAAGAGACAUUUAGUGAUGCAGUUGGGCUCUCCUGGGAUGACAAUGUCAAUUUGCAAAGACCAUGCAUCAAAACCUCUCUGAAAGGGAUCUGUGAGAAACCAAACUCUGCCUGCUUCCAGGUUUUUUUUGGGGGGGGGGUGUUCGUGGCAGUGGGCCAAUCUGAAGAGUCAUAACAACCGACUGAGAGUGCAAAAUAAACUUUUAGUAGCUUGCUACACUGAACAAGCAUUUUCCCUAAGGGUUAACAUGAUUCAUACAUAUCUACAUAUCUACAAAAGGAAAAGGCCGCUCUCAUUAAACAGGAUAACAAAUAGAUAAAAACACCUCUUUCUCUCUUAGCUGUGAAAAUUUGCUAUGUUCCUCUCAUUCCCAAAUCCAGUCCAUUCAGCAACAUCAAGGGGAUAUGUGAUUGGCAAAACCAUUAUACACAAAUCAUUUGUUUAAAAACCUCAAUAAAUAUAGAUUGGCAUAGCACUGAGUGCAGUACUCUUGAGCUACAUUUGGAGAGGGGGAAAUAAAGAGAGCUUUAAUGCACACACUGGAAUCAUUGGAAAUAAUGACAGAAUGGAAUGUAUGGACUCUGGUCAUGAGUUGUCAAAGCAGCUAAAUACUUUAGGAUGCUAAGAGCAACUGUUCUUCCCGAUGUCACGAGAACCACAGUAUUUACAGUGUAUGCAAGCAGAGAUUUGAAAAAAGACAUUACAUAAAGUUUGCAUACACAUUAGCAAGCAGCCACGGUAAUAUGCAAACUGAAUGUUAGGGAACCAUUACCUGCAUGAAGAAAUAAUUAACAAUAAUAAGUCAUUGCAAUCUGAAUGCAACCCUUUAUUUCAAAAGGGAUGUGUACAAAUGGGCUAGUUUGUCUGUGAAGUAGAAUGUUUUAAUCAUAAGAUAAUGGCAGCCAGUGCAGUCAGGCUGGGAAUAGGUUCAAAGCGACCUGGCCACCAAAUUCUGAACCAGCUGAAGUUUCUGAACCAUCUUCAGAGGCAGCUCUAUGUAUAACGCAUUGCAGUAAUCUAACCUAGAGGUUACCAGAGCAUAAACAACAGCAGUCCCUGUCCAGAUAGGGGCACAGCUGGAACACUAGCCAAAGCUGAUGGAAGGCACUUCGUGACACUGUGGCCACCUGAGCCUCAAGCAACAACAAAGGAUACCUUUCUUCAGAUAUAAGAAUUCAUGUACACAAGUGAACACAUGUACAAUCAUAUUUGAAAUAUAAAGCCUCAUGAGAAAUAAGUCUUUAAACAAAA